AACGAACGCUGGCGGCAGGCCUAAUACAUGCAAGUCGAACGGGCGUAGCAAUACGUCAGUGGCGGACGGGUGAGUAACACGUGGGAACAUGCCUUUCGGUUCGGAAUAACGCAGGGAAACUUGCGCUAAUACCGGAUGACCCGGCGACGGAAAAGAUUUAUCGCCGAAAGAUUGGCCCGCGUAGGAUUAGCUAGUUGGUGAGGUAACGGCCCACCAAGGCGACGAUCCUUAGCUGGUUUGAGAGAACGAUCAGCCACACUGGGACUGAGACACGGCCCAGACUCCUACGGGAGGCAGCAGUAGGGAAUCUUGCGCAAUGGGCGAAAGCCUGACGCAGCGACGCCGCGUGAGGGAUGACGG
rnacentral:rRNA from 1 species